GCGAGUGAAGCGGCAAAAGCUCAAAUUUGAAAUCCUUCGGGAAUUGUAUUUUGAAGGUGGGUUUGGUUAGGAAAAGAUACUUUAAGUCCAUUGGAAAAUGGCGCCAUGGAGGGUGAUAGCCCCGUAAAAGUACCCCCUUUUCCUUUUAUCCAUUCCCUCCAAAGAGUCGAGUUGUUUGGGAAUGCAGCUCUAAGUGGGUGGUAAAUUCCAUCUAAAGCUAAAUAUUGGCGAGAGACCGAUAGCGAACAAGUACAGUGAUGGAAAGAUGAAAAGCACUUUGAAAAGAGAGUGAAAAAGUACGUGAAAUUGUUGAAAGGGAAGGGCUUGCAAGCAGACACAACCUCGGUUGGGCCAGCAUCGGAGUGGGGGGAGACAAAAAAGAAAAGGAAUGUAACUCUUUCGAGUAUUAUAGCCUUUUUCUCAUAUCUCCACCCCCUUCCGAGGCCUGCGAUUCUUCAAGGAUGCUGGCGUAAUGGUUGCAAGUCGCCCGUCUUGAAACACGGACCAAGGAGUCUAACGUCUAUGCGAGUGUUUGAGUACUAAACCCAAACGCGCAAUGAAAGUAAUAGGAGCGAACCUUUUAGGUGCAGCUCCGACCACAUUAAGGCCUAAACCAUAAUGUGAGUAAGCAUGGCUGUU
rnacentral:rRNA from 1 species